UACGGAGGGUCCAAGCGUUAUCCGGAUUUAUUGGGUUUAAAGGGUCCGCAGGCGGGAUAUUAAGUCAGUGGUGAAAGCCUACAGCUUAACUGUAGCACUGCCAUUGAUACUGGUAUUCUUGAGUGUGGUUGAAGUGGGCGGAAUAUGUCAUGUAGCGGUGAAAUGCAUAGAUAUGACAUAGAACACCUAUUGCGAAGCAG
rnacentral:rRNA from 1 species